rnacentral:sRNA from 1 species
UAAUGCCCUCUUCUGGUGUGUCUGAAGACAGAGACAGUUGUCAGAACCUCAGAUUGAUCAUCUAUGUACUAAAUGAUAUAAUAUAGAUAGAUAUGAGUAAUAAUGUGAAGCAAGUUAACAGUUAAAAAACCAGACACGAGGGCCAAUAGGCAUCUAAUUCUGUAUAAAAGAGUUUAAGGCAACAACAAGUAGCAUUCUAUGCUAUUACAAAUCAAGGCCAUAGCUCCUUGUGCUGCUUGUAGUAAUGUCAGAGAGCAAAAAUUCAGUUACUUAUUUACAUGUUUAUGAUUUUGCAGUUCUUAGUAUGUGUACGGUUUCAGUAUAAAUUUAAAUGAUCUGGACGACUGAGCACAAAUUAAAUGAUCUAACCAAAUAUUUUCUUCUUGGAAUCAGAACGACCUUGUUUAUCAGUUAAAAGUACUUGCUGAUCUCUUCAAGGACCUGGCCUUGGUUCUCUCCACCCACCAGCUCAUAUCCAUCUAUACAAAUAAAGGAAUCGUGGGAAGAAAACCCAGAGUGGAGAACUUGAUAGAGCAUGUUUGGGCACAAGUUCUUCUACUCCCAUUGUACAGAAACCAUCCAUUUGAUUUAGUAAACAUAAGCAGUGCAUUGUGCUAUCGCAUGUUCCAAGUAUGGGUUACUAUUACCUCUGUUUUUGCUUUCCUUGUAUUGUCAAGUUCUGAGGUGAUUACUCAUCGGCUGUUUAUGCACAUAAUCAUAUAGGCUGGUUUGGCUUUCUGUUUGUUGAUUAAAAAGUUCUAUGGCACA